GGUUAAGCGACUAAGCGUACACGGUGGAUGCCCUGGCAGUCAGAGGCGAUGAAGGACGUGCUAAUCUGCGAUAAGCGUCGGUAAGGUGAUAUGAACCGUUAUAACCGGCGAUUUCCGAAUGGGGAAACCCAGUGUGUUUCGACACACUAUCAUUAACUGAAUCCAUAGGUUAAUGAGGCGAACCGGGGGAACUGAAACAUCUAAGUACCCCGAGGAAAAGAAAUCAACCGAGAUUCCCCCAGUAGCGGCGAGCGAACGGGGAGCAGCCCAGAGCCUGAAUCAGUGUGUGUGUUAGUGGAAGCGUCUGGAAAGGCGCGCGAUACAGGGUGACAGCCCCGUACACAAAAAUGCACAUGCUGUGAGCUCGAUGAGUAGGGCGGGACACGUGGUAUCCUGUCUGAAUAUGGGGGGACCAUCCUCCAAGGCUAAAUACUCCUGACUGACCGAUAGUGAACCAGUACCGUGAGGGAAAGGCGAAAAGAACCCCGGCGAGGGGAGUGAAAAAGAACCUGAAACCGUGUACGUACAAGCAGUGGGAGCCUCUCUUUAUGGGGGGUGACUGCGUACCUUUUGUAUAAUGGGUCAGCGACUUAUAUUCUGUAGCAAGGUUAACCGAAUAGGGGAGCCGAAGGGAAACCGAGUCUUAACUGGGCGUUAAGUUGCAGGGUAUAGACCCGAAACCCGGUGAUCUAGCCAUGGGCAGGUUGAAGGUUGGGUAACACUAACUGGAGGACCGAACCGACUAAUGUUGAAAAAUUAGCGGAUGACUUGUGGCUGGGGGUGAAAGGCCAAUCAAACCGGGAGAUAGCUGGUUCUCCCCGAAAGCUAUUUAGGUAGCGCCUCGUGAAUUCAUCUCCGGGGGUAGAGCACUGUUUCGGCAAGGGGGUCAUCCCGACUUACCAACCCGAUGCAAACUGCGAAUACCGGAGAAUGUUAUCACGGGAGACACACGGCGGGUGCUAACGUCCGUCGUGAAGAGGGAAACAACCCAGACCGCCAGCUAAGGUCCCAAAGUCAUGGUUAAGUGGGAAACGAUGUGGGAAGGCCCAGACAGCCAGGAUGUUGGCUUAGAAGCAGCCAUCAUUUAAAGAAAGCGUAAUAGCUCACUGGUCGAGUCGGCCUGCGCGGAAGAUGUAACGGGGCUAAACCAUGCACCGAAGCUGCGGCAGCGACGCUGAUGCGUUGUUGGGUAGGGGAGCGUUCUGUAAGCCUGCGAAGGUGUGCUGUGAGGCAUGCUGGAGGUAUCAGAAGUGCGAAUGCUGACAUAAGUAACGAUAAAGCGGGUGAAAAGCCCGCUCGCCGGAAGACCAAGGGUUCCUGUCCAACGUUAAUCGGGGCAGGGUGAGUCGACCCCUAAGGCGAGGCCGAAAGGCGUAGUCGAUGGGAAACAGGUUAAUAUUCCUGUACUUGGUGUUACUGCGAAGGGGGGACGGAGAAGGCUAUGUUGGCCGGGCGACGGUUGUCCCGGUUUAAGCGUGUAGGCUGGUUUUCCAGGCAAAUCCGGAAAAUCAAGGCUGAGGCGUGAUGACGAGGCACUACGGUGCUGAAGCAACAAAUGCCCUGCUUCCAGGAAAAGCCUCUAAGCAUCAGGUAACAUCAAAUCGUACCCCAAACCGACACAGGUGGUCAGGUAGAGAAUACCAAGGCGCUUGAGAGAACUCGGGUGAAGGAACUAGGCAAAAUGGUGCCGUAACUUCGGGAGAAGGCACGCUGAUAUGUAGGUGAAGUCCCUCGCGGAUGGAGCUGAAAUCAGUCGAAGAUACCAGCUGGCUGCAACUGUUUAUUAAAAACACAGCACUGUGCAAACACGAAAGUGGACGUAUACGGUGUGACGCCUGCCCGGUGCCGGAAGGUUAAUUGAUGGGGUUAGCGCAAGCGAAGCUCUUGAUCGAAGCCCCGGUAAACGGCGGCCGUAACUAUAACGGUCCUAAGGUAGCGAAAUUCCUUGUCGGGUAAGUUCCGACCUGCACGAAUGGCGUAAUGAUGGCCAGGCUGUCUCCACCCGAGACUCAGUGAAAUUGAACUCGCUGUGAAGAUGCAGUGUACCCGCGGCAAGACGGAAAGACCCCGUGAACCUUUACUAUAGCUUGACACUGAACAUUGAGCCUUGAUGUGUAGGAUAGGUGGGAGGCUUUGAAGUGUGGACGCCAGUCUGCAUGGAGCCGACCUUGAAAUACCACCCUUUAAUGUUUGAUGUUCUAACGUGGACCCGUAAUCCGGGUUGCGGACAGUGUCUGGUGGGUAGUUUGACUGGGGCGGUCUCCUCCUAAAGAGUAACGGAGGAGCACGAAGGUUGGCUAAUCCUGGUCGGACAUCAGGAGGUUAGUGCAAUGGCAUAAGCCAGCUUGACUGCGAGCGUGACGGCGCGAGCAGGUGCGAAAGCAGGUCAUAGUGAUCCGGUGGUUCUGAAUGGAAGGGCCAUCGCUCAACGGAUAAAAGGUACUCCGGGGAUAACAGGCUGAUACCGCCCAAGAGUUCAUAUCGACGGCGGUGUUUGGCACCUCGAUGUCGGCUCAUCACAUCCUGGGGCUGAAGUAGGUCCCAAGGGUAUGGCUGUUCGCCAUUUAAAGUGGUACGCGAGCUGGGUUUAGAACGUCGUGAGACAGUUCGGUCCCUAUCUGCCGUGGGCGCUGGAGAACUGAGGGGGGCUGCUCCUAGUACGAGAGGACCGGAGUGGACGCAUCACUGGUGUUCGGGUUGUCAUGCCAAUGGCACUGCCCGGUAGCUAAAUGCGGAAGAGAUAAGUGCUGAAAGCAUCUAAGCACGAAACUUGCCCCGAGAUGAGUUCUCCCUGACCCUUUAAGGGUCCUGAAGGAACGUUGAAGACGACGACGUUGAUAGGCCGGGUGUGUAAGCGCAGCGAUGCGUUGAGCUAACCGGUACUAAUGAACCGUGAGGCUUAACCUU
rnacentral:rRNA from 1 species